GUUAGCCGUGGCUUCCUCUGAGGGUACCGUCACAUUCUUCGUCCCUCUGACAGAGGUUACAACCAAGGCCGUCAUCCCUCACGCGGCAUCGCUCCGUCAGGCUUGCGCCCAUUGCGGAGGAUUCUCG
rnacentral:rRNA from 1 species